GACGAACGCUGGCGGCGUGCUUAACACAUGCCAGUCGAACGGUGAAGCUCCAGCUUGCUGGAGUGGAUCAGUGGCGAACGGGUGAGUAACACGUGAGCAACCUGCCCCUGACUCUGGAAUAAGCGCUGGAAACGGCGUCUAAUACUGGAUACGAGAAGGGUCCGCAUGGGCACUUUCUGGAAAGUUUUUCGGUUGGGGAUGGGCUCGCGGCCUAUCAGCUUGUUGGUGAGGUAAUGGCUCACCAAGGCGACGACGGGUAGCCGGCCUGAGAGGGCGACCGGCCACACUGGGACUGAGACACGGCCCAGACUCCUACGGGGGGCAGCAGUGGGGAAUAUUGCACAAUGGGCGAAAGCCUGAUGCAGCGACGCCGCGUGAGGGAUGACGGCCUUCGGGUUGUAAACCUCUUUCAGCAGGGAAGAAGCGAAAGUGACGGUACCUGCAGAAGAAGCACCGGCUAACUACGUG
rnacentral:rRNA from 1 species